CGGCGUGCUUAACACAUGCAAGUCGAACGGGAUCCCUGGCAGCUUGCUGCCGGGGUGAGAGUGGCGAACGGGUGAGUAAUGCGUGACCGACCUGCCCCAUGCACCGGAAUAGCUCCUGGAAACGGGUGGUAAUGCCGGAUGUUCCACAUGAGCGCAUGCGAGUGUGGGAAAGGCUUUUUGCGGCAUGGGAUGGGGUCGCGUCCUAUCAGCUUGUUGGUGGGGUAACGGCCUACCAAGGCGUUGACGGGUAGCCGGCCUGAGAGGGCGACCGGCCACAUUGGGACUGAGAUACGGCCCAGACUCCUACGGGAGGCAGCAGUGGGGAAUAUUGCACAAUGGGCGCAAGCCUGAUGCAGCGACGCCGCGUGCGGGAUGGAGGCCUUCGGGUUGUAAACCGCUUUUGUUCAAGGGCAAGGCACGGUUUUUGGCCGUGUUGAGUGGAUUGUUCGAAUAAGCACCGGCUAACUACGUGCCAGCAGCCGCGGUAAUACGUAGGGUGCAAGCGUUAUCCGGAUUUAUUGGGCGUAAAGGGCUCGUAGGCGGUUCGUCGCGUCCGGUGUGAAAGUCCAUCGCUUUAACNGUGGAUCCCGCGCCGGGUACCGGCCGGGCUUUGAGUGCGGUAGGGGAAACUUGGAAAUUCCCCGGUGUAAACCGGUGGGAAUUGUUGUAGAUUAUUCGGGAAAGAAACAACCCAAAUGGGCGAAAAGGCAAG
rnacentral:rRNA from 1 species